UGGGGAACGUUGUAGGGACGUGAUCCCAUGGUCUCUACCCAGCAUACACAGUAUGUUGUGAGGACGUCGCCAGUUGGUCGUCAUUUGGUCAGCGUGACAUUACUUGACAACGUCGUGAGGACGUCGUGGUAACGUUCCAUUUCCAGAAUUUUGACUAAGGUCCCAGAAACGUCCUGUGCACGUUCUCAAAAGACGUCCCUAGUUAGUCGCAUGGGAACGUUGUAGCGACGUGGUCAGCUGGUCUCCAGAUAACUUUUCAUAUUAUUGCAUUACAUGUAUUUGGCCUAUCUUUUUAAGGUGUAUACCAUUUGGAUAGCCUAUAAUAAGGGAAAUAUACUGAAUUAAUCAAGCAUUUUUGAGUUGUUAUAGAAAUAUAAUAAUUAUGCCGUCAUUUAAAAUGUAUAUAUUUGUCAUCAAGUUCAUGACAAAACAAAACCAAAUAGUUUGUUAGCGAAUAGCAAUAAUUUAUGCUUGUGAAUGACAGAAGAAAUUUAUUGAAAAACGGCAUGGGACAAGUGAACAUUUAAACCAGCGCACGUCACUUUUUGAGUGCUGCGUAAGUGCGCGUGCCCGUCACUUUAACGGUCAACUUCCAGCAGAUGGACCCGAAGGAAAAGGUCCUGACUGCCAAUAAACCAGGCAAUGAUUCACAGGUGGAGAGAUAGUCUGGGCAGCACCAAGCUGACAACUAUUAUGAUUAUAAGUAGGGAUGAUUAUCGAGAACAGGUACUGAUUUGGCUCCUGACUUGUUCAGUACUGAAUAACUGAUAUAAGCCACAGGACCAGCAAUGCUGCUGUUGGUGUUUUUGUAUUGUUGAUUCUUUCCUCUUUAGAAAUAACUGCAUAUCAUCCAAACCAUCUCCAAAUGAAUGGCUGCAAGGAUCCAGGAUCAAGAGAUAAUCCAUCAUGAAAACUGUUUCAUAGGAAUCAGCGAAUCCUGGGCCUGCCUGACCAUUCUGUUGCCCUGGAUGUGAAGCCACGCUGGAACUGCAUUUCUCAUGGUUGAAAGAGUUGCGCAUCAAUAUCCAGACAUACAAGAAGCCUUCCUGGACCCACACGACAAAAUGCUUAGGAGGAGAGGCAGGAUUUUUUUGAGACUAUGGAGGAUGGCUGGACCUUGGUCUGCCUGGGGGAUCUGGGGCCAUGGCCUUGUAUUCAAAGGAAAGGUGAAAAAUGAAGUCUGGGAACCACUGAAGAAGGCAGCAGUGAGGGACGGAAGUAAUCAUCA